UACGGGGGGAGCAAGCGUUGUUCGGAUUUACUGGGCGUAAAGGGCGCGUAGGCGGUCAGCACAAGUCAGUUGUGAAAUCUCCGGGCUUAACUCGGAAAGGUCAACUGAUACUGUGCGACUAGAGUGCAGAAGGGGCAACUGGAAUUCUCGGUGUAGCGGUGAAAUGCGUAGAUAUCAGGAAGAACACCCGUGGCUAAGGCGGUUCUCUAGUACGGUACUGACGCUGAGACGCGAAAGCGUGGGGAGUGAACAGG
rnacentral:rRNA from 1 species